rnacentral:rRNA from 1 species
GAUGAACGCUGGCGGCGUGCCUAAUACAUGCAAGUCGAGCGAACGGACGAGAAGCUUGCUUCUCUGAUGUUAUCGGCGGACGGGUGAGUAACACGUGGAUAACCUACCUAUAAGACUGGGAUAACUUCGGGAAACCGGAGCUAAUACCGGAUAAUAUUUUGAACCGCAUGGUUCAAAAGUGAAAGACGGUCUUGCUGUCACUUAUAGAUGGAUCCGCGCUGCAUUAGCUAGUUGGUAAGGUAACGGCUUACCAAGGCAACGAUGCAUAGCCGACCUGAGAGGGUGAUCGGCCACACUGGAACUGAGACACGGUCCAGACUCCUACGGGAGGCAGCAGUAGGGAAUCUUCCGCAAUGGGCGAAAGCCUGACGGAGCAACGCCGCGUGAGUGAUGAAGGUCUUCGGAUCGUAAAACUCUGUUAUUAGGGAAGAACAUAUGUGUAAGUAACUGUGCACAUCUUGACGGUACCUAAUCAGAAAGCCACGGCUAACUAAGUG